rnacentral:tRNA from 1 species
UCGGGGCGUGGCGCAGCCUGGUAGCGCGCGCCGUUCGGGUCGGCGAGGUCGGAGGUUCAAAUCCUCUCGCCCCGAU